CUCAAUUCAUGACUACCAUUUGCAGUGACUGAUGAGUCUAAAGCUGAUCUUGUCGGGUUAUUUGCUAAAGAAUUUCCAAGUUUAGUCCGAUUAUUCUCAUCAAAAUCCAUCAACUUCAUAAUAUCCGUUACUAGUAUUAAUCGUUGAAAUUUAAAGGUCGGGCAACUCAAGAUGAGGUGGGAUAAGUCGGCCUCAUUUCCUCCACAAUUCAGUCACAUAUGUAUAUAUUUGUGAAGUAUAAAGGUUAUACAGGAUUGGAGAUAAAGAAGACCCUUGCAUCAACCCCUUGAAUGCUAAUUUUGGACCAUGAAAAACAUUAUUGUAUUUAAUGUAUAAAGAACGACCAUAAUACAUAUGGAAAAUCCAUUUUAAAAGCUUUCCUGGGAAGCCCAAAGAAUAUAGCACCUUAAUUAAUUGGUGAAGAUCUACAUUAUCAUAUGCCCCCUGAACAUCAAGGAAAACACAAAUUGCAGUAGAACCUGAUAACAAACACUUCUUCAUAUCAGUCAGCCUCGGCACAAGUAUCAUUCCACCAAGGAGCUGGAGGAGCAGACUUUUUACUAGAAGAUUUAUGCUUUAACAAUGGAACACAGUUUUCUUUUAAACUAAGUAGUAAUUUAGAAAAUUCAUCAUAUUGAACUAAAGGAUCAAUUGUUGAAGGAGAAAAUUUAUCAAAUAUAUCUUUGGAUUUAUCAUUGUACAUAUUCCAGUUUGUUUUAUUAUAUAAAUACUUAUGUAUAGACUCUUGUACUGUAUAUUUUUGAGUUGAGGUAAUGAUGUUAACAAAAGUAGGUAAAUGAUAGCUCCCUAAAGAGUCAUCACCGACAUACCACUCACAAAGUGGUGCAAUAUCAGGGCUAACACAAGUAACAUCAAUGGCUGAUGCAUUAUUACCAGGUCUAGAAAUAGUAGUAGGGUCACCAGAAUUUAAAAUACAUAAAUCAGCAUCAUCAAAUAUAUCAAAUAAUUCACGACCUCUUGAAUUGGUAGUAUCACAACCAAAAGCUAUAUUGUGAGCAUUAAAAUCACCAGA